UAAAUAAAUCGCCAAGUCCGGGCACUGUUACGAAGCUGUUGUGAUGCUCUUUGAGUAAAAUGGCACAAGGCGAUCGCAGCGCAGGGUUUGCCUUGUGGGACUAUUGCCCGUCACCGCACUUUCUCACGACGAGGCUCUCACACACCAACAGUCUCUCCCGAGAGAAACACUGGAAGCCGAUCAGCCCGGAAUAACCCUCUCAGAUAUGCCUCCAUCCCUGCAACCAGACCGCACCGCACUGCAACACGUGUAUCAAAGGUGUGAAAAUCAAUUGCAUUUGGAAGGAAAGAUUCGUGAAGAAAAGAAAACA